AAAUAAACAACGGGGAGCUCAUUGAGAGCUGAGAGUGGAUUGAACAAUCCUGACCCAUAACCUGAUUUGGAUAAUGCCAACGUAGGGAAAUAGUCCGCUAAGGGACA
rnacentral:ncRNA from 2 species